rnacentral:tRNA from 1 species
AUUUCUAUAGCUUAUUUUUGUAGAGCAUAUUAGUGAAGUUAAUAAGGAAAUGUUAAUUUAGAAAUA